GCUACGGGUGGCAGCAGUGGGGGAUAUUGCACAAUGGGGGGAACCCUGAUGCAGCGACGCCGCGUGGGUGAAGAAGCGCCUCGGCGCGUAAAGCCCUGUCAGCAGGGAAGAAAAUGACGGUACCUGAAGAAGAAGCCCCGGCGAACUACGUGCCAGCAGCCGCGGUAAUACGUAGGGGGCAGGCGUUAUCCGGAUUUAUGGGGUGUAAAGGGGGCGCAGACGGGGAUGCAAGCCAGGAGGGAAAGCCCGGGGCCCAACCCCGGGACUGCGCUUGGAACUGGGUGGCGGGAGGGCAGGAGGGGCAGGCGGAAGCCCUGGGGUAGCGGUGAAAUGCGGAGAGAUCGGGAGGAACACCGGGGGGGAAGGCGGCCUGCUGGACUGCAACUGACGUGGAGGCCCGAAAGCGUGGGGAGCAAACAGGAUGAGAUACCCCAGUAGUC
rnacentral:rRNA from 1 species